CCUACGGGAGGCAGCAGUAGGGAAUAUUGCUCAAUGGGGGAAACCCUGAAGCAGCAACGCCGCGUGGGGGAUGAAGGUUUUCGGAUUGUAAACUCCUUUUGUUAGAGAAGAUAAUUACGGUAUCUACCGACUAAGCACCGGCUACCUCCGUGCCAGCAGCCGCGGUAAUACGGAGGGUGCAAGCGUUACUCGGAGUCACUGGGUGUAAAGGGCGCGUAGGCGGGAUAGCAAGUCAGAUGUGAAAUCCUAGGGCUUAACCAUAGAACUGCAUUUGAAACUGUUAGUCUAGAGUACGGGAGAGGUAGGUGGAAUUCUUGGUGUAGGGGUAAAAGCCGUAGAGAUUAAGAGGAAUACUCAUGGCGAAGGCGACCUGCUAGAACAUAACUGACGCUGAUGCGCGAAAGCGUGGGGAGCAAACAGGAUUAGAUACCCUUGUAGUC
rnacentral:rRNA from 1 species